UCCUUUCCGUCACGAACUGCCGGCGUUAGGGCCUUCGAUUCACAUCGCUUUUCUCAUUUUCAAACCCAAAAAUCGCCGUCCUUCCUCUCGCCGGCCGGCGCCGCCAUGACACCACCGCCCACCCCAUCCCCUCCGCCUCCCGACGCCGCCUCUCCAAAACAGCCCAUGCCCGAUGACGACGGCAAACCCGCCCCUUCUUCUUCUCCUCUGCCCGGAGUUUCGUCAGACCUUCCGACGCCGGCGGCGAAGACCCCGGCUUUUCCGGCCAGAGAGGACUUCUGGUCGGAGGACGCGACGCGUACGCUGAUCGACGCGUGGGGCGGCCACUACCUCGAGCUCAACCGCGGCAACCUCCGGCAGAAGCACUGGCAAGAGGUCGCCGACGCCGUCAACGCCGCUUCGGUCAAGCUCCGCCGGACCGACGUGCAGUGCAAAAACCGCAUCGACACCAUCAAAAAGAAAUACAAGAUCGAGAAGUCCAGGACCCUCCAAUCCAACGGCCGGUACGUCUCCACAUGGCCGCACUUCCCCAGCCUCGACUUUCUCAUCGGCGACUCAUUCUCCAAAUCUCACACCCCCGGCCCCAACCGGAACCCCCGCCGGAAACCUCCAAACUCGCCGGAAAUCACCCCUCCGCCGCCUCCUCCUUCGGCCACGAUUUAUUCCCUACCUAGACCUCAAUCGGCGACGAAUCAUCCCCGAGAAAACGAUCCUAAAUUAGGUCAACAGUUGAAGCUCCCCUGGCAGGUACCCGUCGGACCUCGGUCAAAACGCAGUGUGGCUGAACGCAAUUUCUCAGUAAUGGCCGCCGCCGCCGCCGCAAUGGAGGAUGCUUACGAAGAAGAUGAAUGGUGUAGGAGGCGGCCGGCGGCAGCAGCCGGCCGGAAAAGGAAGGGCUCCAAAAUGCUGGCUGAGGCAAUAAUGAGAUUAGGAAAGGUAUAUGAGAAAGUAGAAGGAGAGAAGCAGCAGCAGAUCCUGGAGUUAGAGAAGCAGAAGAUGCAGUUCACCAUGGAAUUGGAGAUCCAGAGGAUGGAGAUCUUCAUGGAAUCGCAGGUCCAGCUUCAUAAGCUAAAGAAUAACAGUUGUUUGUAGAUACGUCGCUGUGAAGCAUUCGCUCUCAAGUCGGACUGUCGGGACGAAUGCAUUGCAACAGGAACGCUUCAAUUGUUUUUAAGUUUUACGGUGGCGGGAAGUGUGUAGCUUUAACUACUUUCUAUUCAUGUGUAGCAUAUAAUUCAUCCAACACUAUUGUUGCUGGAAUUAUCGUUCUUACACAUCUUCUCUUUGUUUCCCG